GUAUUGCGCAGGCUACACAUGCAAGUCGAGCGGAAACGAGUUAACUGAACCUUCGGGGAACGUUAACGGCGUCGAGCGGCGGACGGGUGAGUAAUGCCUGGGAAAUUGCCCUGAUGUGGGGGAUAACCAUUGGAAACGAUGGCUAAUACCGCAUAAUAGCUUCGGCUCAAAGAGGGGGACCUUCGGGCCUCUCGCGUCAGGAUAUGCCCAGGUGGGAUUAGCUAGUUGGUGAGGUAAUGGCUCACCAAGGCGACGAUCCCUAGCUGGUCUGAGAGGAUGAUCAGCCACACUGGAACUGAGACACGGUCCAGACUCCUACGGGAGGCAGCAGUGGGGAAUAUUGCACAAUGGGCGCAAGCCUGAUGCAGCCAUGCCGCGUGUAUGAAGAAGGCCUUCGGGUUGUAAAGUACUUUCAGCAGUGAGGAAGGUGGGUAUGUUAAUAGCAUACUCAUUUGACGUUAGCUGCAGAAGAAGCACCGGCUAACUCCGUGCCAGCAGCCGCGGUAAUACGGAGGGUGCGAGCGUUAAUCGGAAUUACUGGGCGUAAAGCGCAUGCAGGUGGUUUGUUAAGUCAGAUGUGAAAGCCCGGGGCUCAACCUCGGAAUUGCAUUUGAAACUGGCAAACUAGAGUACUGUAGAGGGGGGUAGAAUUUCAGGUGUAGCGGUGAAAUGCGUAGAGAUCUGAAGGAAUACCGGUGGCGAAGGCGGCCCCCUGGACAGAUACUGACACUCAGAUGCGAAAGCGUGGGGAGCAAACAGGAUUAGAUACCCUGGUAGUCCACGCCGUAAACGAUGUCUACUUGGAGGUUGUGGCCUUGAGCCGUGGCUUUCGGAGCUAACGCGUUAAGUAGACCGCCUGGGGAGUACGGUCGCAAGAUUAAAACUCAAAUGAAUUGACGGGGGCCCGCACAAGCGGUGGAGCAUGUGGUUUAAUUCGAUGCAACGCGAAGACCC
rnacentral:rRNA from 1 species